GAUAGCAGUGCGCAGGCGCAGGGCGGGAAGUGGGGUGGUGUGCGAGGGGCGGGGCCCUGGGGGGAGGGGGCAAUGGACGGCAAGGGAGGUAGACGAGGGGGUCGAGAGCUGCACCGGGAGCUGCAGGGAACGAUGAGAGACCAUGAACGUUCCUGGGAUUGACUGGACAAUUUCCCACUGGAGGAUGUGUCACCUUGGACCCUCUGUGGGUCCUUCUCUCAGGAGGUAUAGGUGGCCGCUCCACGUGUGACCUGAGCCCCGUGUCUGUUCUGAGACCCAGAGCUUUGACCUGGCUUGGCUUUGCCGUCGUAGGCGUCCCUGGGAACGCUGAUGGCCACAGCUUAGUCGGACUGAGACCCGGAGACGCAGCAUCCUCUCCUGGAGUCAAAUGCUGCUUCAUCUCCUAAAGAUGCCCCGGGUUGUGGCGGGCCAGCCUCCAGUUCUCCCGAUGCCGGUGGUACAGUGUUGGUCACCUGCCUCCUCCAGGCGACAGUGAUGCUUACUAUGCCUUUUGCCCAGGAUGUCAAGGGACUUGUGCGUGGUUGACAGCUACUCACCAGGCGCGUCCCUGGGAGACACUCCCAGGCCUGCAGCGCUGGCAUUUCAGCCUUGCGGGGGCAGUGUUGCUCCUUGGCACGCUCACAUUAUCAGCUUUUGAUCAGUCAAAGGGGCUCAAAGAAAGAAAAGGUCCCGGCCAGGUAUGUGGUGCUUCCCACGCAAAAAGGAACAAGGGUAGGAGGCCACGAGAGCGCUUGGUUGCAAAAAGCAAGUGUUCAAGUACCUUCUACUUAGAUAGCUCUUUGGCCACAGGCUUUAUUUGCCUCCAGGGCCUGCUUUUGACCCAGUAGGCAUAGGAUGUCUGUGGGGCAGGCAUGAUAUAUAAUGCUAUUUGGAAAUGUAAUAGCUUUACGCAGAGAUAUAAAGUGAUCAAUGUAAAAAUAUUUUGAAACAAAAAAAUAAAAUAGAUGAGUGUCUUGCAGAAUAGCAGCGAAUGAUGCAGGCCAGCAGGCUUGGUCAUCAUUUUUUAAAAUUAUUCUCAGUCUGCUCACUGCUUCCAAAGUAAGUGUCACGAGUCUUACCACGUUAUGAGUCCCCGGCCGUCUAACUUGAGUGCCACAUCUUUACAAGGCACGUGGUCAGCACUUAAGUUUUUGAGGUUUCCGAGUAAAAAAGGAGGUUGAUAAUGAAAUGAGGCAUGAAGGCUGGAAUUGCCAGAAAAUCUGCGGCAAGGGGUCUUUGUCAGUUUUGCUGAUGUUGGAUCCAAGGUGCUCGGGACAGAGAGGGUCCCCCGGCAACUCUCUGUUGAAUUUAUAUAUGCUGGUGUCCAUCCUUAACCAUUCAUUUUUAUUACCUCUCUAGCAUCCAGGAAGGGUGAAUUUGAUUUUUAUGUCCUGGAGUCUUACAUAAAUAAACG